AUUGAACGCUGGCGGCAGGCCUAACACAUGCAAGUCGAGCGGAUGAAGGGAGCUUGCUCCUGGAUUCAGCGGCGGACGGGUGAGUAAUGCCUAGGAAUCUGCCUGGUAGUGGGGGAUAACGUCCGGAAACGGGCGCUAAUACCGCAUACGUCCUGAGGGAGAAAGUGGGGGAUCUUCGGACCUCACGCUAUCAGAUGAGCCUAGGUCGGAUUAGCUAGUUGGUGGGGUAAAGGCCUAUCAAGGCGACGAUCCGUAACUGGUCUGAGAGGAUGAUCAGUCACACUGGAACUGAGACACGGUCCAGACUCCUACGGGAGGCAGCAGUGGGGAAUAUUGGACAAAGGGCGAAAGCCUGAUCCAGCCAUGCCGCGUGUGUGAAGAAGGUCUUCGGAUUGUAAAGCACUUUAAGUUGGGAGGAAGGGCAGUAAGUUAAUACCUUGCUGUUUUGACGUUACCAACAGAAUAAGCACCGGCUAACUUCGUG
rnacentral:rRNA from 1 species